GGGGUCGGUUUUUGGCUUUGACAGCAAGGUCGGCCGAGAUGUAAGCACGUCGGGCUCACGAAGUACGGCCCGUUAAUCCUGAUCUUCGGAAUACAACUGGCGAAAACAAUUACGCUCUUGCUGCUUAAUCCUUCCAGGAAGCAUUAAGCCAACGUCCGCUCCAGGAGCGGAGGCGGGAUGCCUCUCCGAAGCCACGUCCUGCGGCGUCGGGCAAAGGGGUACCGUAAAAGCGGGAACAAGCCUGCGGGAGUUCCGACCGCAGGACGGAAAUUGCACCGGAACGUAAGCUGCGGACAAGGGUGUUUGCGACUAUGCCGCGGCCUGACAACCUUUCACAAAAUAAGCGUGUAGAAAGCAUUGAGGUUGCUUGUUUGGACCCGGGUUCGACUCCCGGCGACUCCACAA
rnacentral:tmRNA from 1 species